rnacentral:rRNA from 1 species
GAUGAACGCUGGCGGCGUGCCUAAUACAUGCAAGUCGAGCGAACAGACGAGGAGCUUGCUCCUCUGACGUUAGCGGCGGACGGGUGAGUAACACGUGGAUAACCUACCUAUAAGACUGGGAUAACUUCGGGAAACCGGAGCUAAUACCGGAUAACAUGUUGAACCGCAUGGUUCAACAGUGAAAGACGGUUUUGCUGUCACUUAUAGAUGGAUCCGCGUCGCAUUAGCUAGUUGGUAAGGUAACGGCUUACCAAGGCAACGAUGCGUAGCCGACCUGAGAGGGUGAUCGGCCACACUGGAACUGAGACACGGUCCAGACUCCUACGGGAGGCAGCAGUAGGGAAUCUUAGACAAUGGGGGCAACCCUGAUCUAGCCAUGCCGCGUGAGUGAUGAAGGCCUUAGGGUUGUAAAGCUCUUUCAGCUGGGAAGAUAAUGACGGUACCAGCAGAAGAAGCCCCGGCUAACUCCGUG